rnacentral:rRNA from 1 species
GACGAACGCUGGCGGCGUGCUUAACACAUGCAAGUCGAACGGAAAGGCCCUGCUUUUGUGGGGUUCUCGAGUGGCGAACGGGUGAGUAACACGUGAGUAACCUGCCCUUGACUUUGGGAUAACUUCAGGAAACUGGGGCUAAUACCGGAUAGGAGCUCCUGCUGCAUGGUGGUGGUUGGAAAGUUUCGGCGGUUUGGGAUGGACUCGCGGCUUAUCAGCUUGUUGGUGGGGUAGUGGCUUACCAAGGCUUUGACGGGUAGCCGGCCUGAGAGGGUGACCGGCCACAUUGGGACUGAGAUACGGCCCAGACUCCUACGGGAGGCAGCAGUGGGGAAUAUUGCACAAUGGGCGGAAGCCUGAUGCAGCAACGCCGCGUGCGGGAUGACGGCCUUCGGGUUGUAAACCGCUUUCGCCUGUGACGAAGCGUGAGUGACGGUAAUGGGUAAAGAAGCACCGGCUAACUACGUG